rnacentral:rRNA from 1 species
CCUACGGGAGGCAGCAGUGAGGAAUAUUGGACAAUGGGCGCAAGCCUGAUCCAGCCAUGCCGCGUGCAGGAUGACGGUCCUAUGGAUUGUAAACUGCUUUUAUACAGGAAGAAACCCUGGUUCGUGAACCAGCUUGGCGGUACUGUAAGAAUAAGGAUCGGCUAACUCCGUGCCAGCAGCCGCGGUAAUACGGAGGAUCCAAGCGUUAUCCGGAAUCAUUGGGUUUAAAGGGUCCGUAGGCGGUUUAAUAAGUCAGUGGUGAAAGCCCAUCGCUCAACGGUGGAACGGCCAUUGAUACUGUUAAACUUGAAUUAUUAGGAAGUAACUAGAAUAUGUAGUGUAGCGGUGAAAUGCUUAGAGAUUACAUGGAAUACCAAUUGCGAAGGCAGGUUACUACUAAUAUAUUGACGCUGAUGGACGAAAGCGUGGGUAGCGAACAGGAUUAGAUACCCUGGUAGUCCACGCCGUAAACGAUGGAUACUAGCUGUUGGGAGCAAUCUCAGUGGCUAAGCGAAAGUGAUAAGUAUCCACCUGGGGAGUACGUUCGCAAGAAGAGAACACGAAGAAGUAGACGACGUGAGAGAGCGACGACGACGACGAGGGAGGAGG